GGGAAAGCACGUGGCUUUCGGUUCUUUGAACUGAGGAAAGUCUGCCCACCACUAAAAAGGCCACUUUCGAAAGAAAGAUCCAGCAAUGGAUGGCAACAUCACAGAAACGAAACGGCCCUUAUUCGCUAUGAGGCUGCGAAGCGCUGGCGACAGUUGCAAGUUAACCAGCUGAGUUUGCUUAAGGGAUGCGUUGAAACGGAUAGGACUGGUCGGUGCAAGCACAAAUGUGCGCUAAGUAAAAUGCCACACAGCCUGCCCAGACAGGUAAAACUGUCAGCGUUGUUACAAUAUCAAUGCUUUGGAGGCUGACAAAAGGCAGCUUAUGCUUACCC
rnacentral:RNase_P_RNA from 1 species